rnacentral:lncRNA from 1 species
GAAUCUGAGAAGAGAGUACAUUUUGUUAAAAAGAACUGGCUUGGGAUCUUAAAGGUAAGGUUCCCAUUUGCAUCUCAGCAUGUACACUAUUUUCAUAAAUAAUCCCUCUCCUGUGAGCAGCUUCCAAGGCCUGGGGGAUGGGGACCAGGGGAGCUCUUGGAAGACUAUUAAGAUUCCCAAUCUCAGAAGCCUGCAGAAAGAGUGUAGAAGUUUUCGCAUAUAUGGGUGUAUCAUUCAUUCUAAUUUCAGUGGGGUGGGGGGUGGGGGUGGGGGAAUCACAGUCAAGAAGGAAUCAAAAGCAUGUAAGGCUGUAGUAUUUCUCAAGCUCAACUGCAAAAUUGAAUCUACUAAGGAAUUUUUAAACCAUUUAUCUCAGAAUCUCUGGGUGUGGGGACUGGGCAGGUUGAUUUUUCAGAAUUCUCCAGCUAAGCCCAAGGGGCCACCAAGAAUGAGAACCAGGACUCAAUGGCUUUGUCAUGGGUGCUUCUCAACCUGACUGAACCACAGGCAUCCAGGGGCGACAUACAGCCCCGAUAGGAGCAGGCGUCCUUCAAGCAGAUCCAAGAGAGAAGUAACAAGCUUGAUGGUUUAUGGUGGCACUUAGUGCUUUGUAACCCCAGUGACCACAGAAACUGGGACUCAAGUCGAAGAAUGUGAAGAACGUAUGCGGCUCCAGGAGGGUGGAGGUCUUGCAGGGAAUAUCUACAAAAUUAAGAUCUGUAAAUCACUGGGUUUUGGAAAGGAGAGUGGAGCAAGUAAUUUUGAUGUCAUAAAGCAUCCAUUGUAAAAUGUGCUUGCCACCCCCCCCAAAAAAGAAUUAAAAUUAAGGUGCUUGCAAUUCAAGCUUGCCAACAUCCCUCUGUUCCCUUGUCUGUGUGCUAGAAGUCUAAAAGGCAGGGAAAGAAAAAGGGCAAGAGGAAAAAAAAAAAGCUAUUUGGGGCUGUCCACUCACUAUUUGUUGAGUGUGUCAUAGAAAGACUAAAUCAAAGCAAAUGUUUAAAAAACAUUUAAUGAGUGAAUGAAUCCUUUGUUCCAAAGAAUGGUAUUCUUCCCUUUAUAAAAUGAUAAUAGUUAAGAAAAGACAGGUGCUUAUUUUUAAACAUAGCUGGCAUUAUAAAAUGAGCAGAAAGGAUGAUUUUCUCCCUCUUUGGUUGGCAGAAUAGGAUUUGGAAAACCGUUGGGGAUUUUCAUCAUUCCACUGUCUUGCUGGAGACCCUCCCAGUCACAGAGAUGGGGGUGAGCUCUCUAGAUGGUGGGAGUUGAAAGCCAUUUAGGGAUGGGAUUGGAAAUGUCCAUCUUCUCACGCCACAAAAUAAUGGCCCCUUCCAUCAUGUAAUUGCAUCGUGUUUCUGUCUCCUUAUCUUCUCCUAAACUUCCAUUCUAUUCACCUUCCUUCUGGAAUCCCUUCAAUUCUCCAGUCUCAUCUCUGCAAAACAGAAAGGCAAAAGUGUGAUCGUGAAAUUGGCGUUUGGUUCAAGGUCUUAGAAACCAAAUGAAUGCCUAAAAAAAAAAAAAAGAAAAAAUACAGGCUUGAGAUGCAGUGUGUUCCCAUUUCUCCCUCACUCCUGCACGGCCAGGAGGACCAGUUUUCCAUCAGGCUUCCCUAAUGCUUGCUUGGUUUUCCAAGAGUCCAGCCAUCUCUAAGGACAGUGCUUCAUGUUUCCUUAGGCAGAGGCUGUUGGAUUCUGAGUGAAUUCCCCCUAGGGGACCAGGGGGACCAGUGUCUCUCUCUCAAGGCUCUGAAGGAAAAUCCUAUUGCCCGUUCACUUCAGAAAUUCAGCUUACAUCUCAGUCCCAUAUGGUGUCAUUGCCUUGUCCUUGGAACACGGGCCCUAAGAAUAACUCCGCUGUAAGAUAACUAACUGCUCUUAGUUAUCUUUUUGCCUCCUCUUAAUUCAGGAAGAAGAAAAAUAAAAUGAAAUCCACAGUAUUGUCUUCUAUCAUUAAGUACAUCCCUCAAAACAACCACAUCUAUUUCAAUGUGAUAAUAAAUCUAUGUCCUCACACUGAAUUCUUUGCUCAAGCCCUGGAAUUCUAAACCUCUCUGUGGCUGGAAUCUGGGGCAAUUACACCUAAGGGCCAGACCUGCAGUAAUGCCCCAAAUUACUUUCUGGAGGGGGUGGCCGGUGGGGGGGGGGUUCCCAUUAUUUUAAAGGCAAGACUUCAAACCAAAUGUUUCGCUCUUUAUUGAUCUGCUUUCAUCUCCUUUCAUUGCAUUUCCUGUUUGGCUUUUUCCUCUCUCUCUCUCUCUCUUUUUUUUUUCCACCCUGGUGGUGAACACCCUCCAAUUGGUGAUUGCAGACCUCUAAGGUGCUGUUUACAAAGGCUAUUAAUGCCCCGUCCUCAUUUCCUGGUUUACUGCCAAUGAGCCUGACACAAAGCCCUCCUUGGCAGACACUAAAAUAUUGGCGAGGCCCCACUGAGUUUCUCAGUUUGCAGAUAGCAGAGGAUUGAGGAGGAAAGGCGCCUUCCUUUUCCCGUGGCUGGCUGUGAAGUCUCCCUUUGUAGCUCUUUAAAGAGGUAUUUUAGAGUCUCUGAAGAUUCAGCUAGAAGGGACUUCUCACAUCUUAGGGGUCCAGAGACUCCUGACCUGAAAUCUACACAUCUUGACAAGACUUGGGGAUGAGGUUCAAGGGGAUAGGAAAUUCCUGGCAUCAUAGGCAAAUAUUGUGUGAACAUAUACUCUCAUGAUCUCUUCUGGGGAGAGAUUCUGUGACUUAAAAGAACUGAUGUCCUGAUAGUCCAAUCUCGUUUUAUGGAUGUGAAAAAAGAUAGAAAUCAGCGGAAAUGAUUUUUCCCAGUUUUUAAUAUAAUAUCAUGCUUAUCCUCCUCUGUUAUCUAUUUUGGUGUCCGAAAAUCACCCAUACUGGGUAAUUACCUGUAUUUACAGACCUAGUUUCCUUGUCUCUAAAAUAAUGAGAUUGUCUUUUGAACUCAUCAACUCUUUUUCCUUUUGGCUGUGCCCAGGGCAUAUAGAAGUUCCCAGGCUAGGGAUCAAACCCGAGCCACCGAGCCACCGCCACCGCUGCUACCUGAGCUGCUGCAGUGCCAAUGCCUGAUCCUUAACCCACUGUGCCCCAAGGGAACUCUCCAGAGCUCUUCAAUGUCUUGAGAAAGAAAAAAAAUAGAAUGAGGGCCAAACUCUAGAAUCAGCCAGAUCUGGUUCAAACCCAGAUAAAUCACUUGUGAGAAACUUUGGUAUGUCCUUAACUUUUUAUGAUUUGUGCUUCUUCAUUAUUUUAUUUUAUUUUUUUUUUUAUUUUCCCACUGUACAGCAAGGGGGUCAGGUUAUACAUUACCAUUACAGUUUUUCCCCCACCCUUUCUUCUGUUGCAACAUGAGUAUCUAGACAUAGUUCUCAAUGCUAUUCAGCAGGAUCUCCUUGUAAAUCUAUUCUAAGUUGUGUUCUUCAUUAUUUUAAUACAUGCUACUCUCGUCCCCUAAGUUUCUACCUUAUUAGGUUAUCCUAAGAAUUAAAUGAGAUAAUGUAUGUGACUGCCUGACACAUAGUAUUCAAUAAAUGUUAACCACUUUCUAAAUACCAAUUGUUGGAGUUCCCUUUGUGGCUCAGAGUUUAAUGAACCCGACUAGCACCCAUGAGGAUGCUGGUUUGAUCCCUGGCCUUGCUCAGUGGGUUAAGCCUCUGGCGUUGCCUUGAGCUGUGGGUUUGGCCCUAAAAUAGCAAGAAAUAAAAUGAAUAAAUAAGUGAAUAAAUAGCUAUUGUUAUGUCACAACGGACGAGAUGGAUGCUAGACACUUAUGUGACAUAGUUCCAUGGAUGCAACCAGAUUCUGAAAAAGAAAAAAAUCCAAAAAGAAUUUCAGGAGAGGAAACCUAAUUGUGCACCAGAAACACCUCCCUUACUCAGGUUUUACCAGAAAUCACAGAUCCAGCAAGGCGUGCCUAAGCAGUCUGUGUGUUGUGGAUAAUUCCUGUUGCGGCUCCAUCUUCAUCUUCAUGCCCUCCCUCCCCAAAGAACAAAGCGACUCUGUGAAACAAAGGACUCUGUGAAAGUGGAGACCUAAUAUAAAGAAACUAGAAUUUGGCUCUACUGGAUGAUUUUUGAAGGUAAACCAUUCAACAGCUUUGGGAUAUCACUAUCAGGAGUAGUUAACUUCGCUCAGCCCGGCACAGAGCAAACCAGUCCUCCUGUCACUAUCGUCCCCCUUUCAACGGACUGUUGUCGCAUGAUUUGAGAAUCACCCUACAAGAUUAUCACGGUUCUCUAGUAUUUCAAACUGUCUCUGUCUUUUUAACAUUUCAAAACUAUUUACAUUAAAUAAUUCAAAGCAGUUACAUGGAAUUUUUAAGAUUCAGGAAAAAGAAUAAAAUACACAUGCAGGUACUCACCAACCUAAGAAAUAGAUUAGCAAUGCAUUUGACACUCUCACCGUCUGAAUGUUUUCUCAUUCUCAUUUUCUUGCCCAUCUCUAACCUGUUGACUCUUGUUUGCUUUUCCGAAAAGGGAUUCCCACCCGAGACAGCCAUCUGCUACUCUCGUCCCUCAGCUUAUGUCCUGAACUUUGUCAAUGUUGAUGUGCAGCGAUUGACAAUAUAAUUUUCACUUUGUUUGUGGUAGGAACCCAUCCUCCUAUCUAUAGACAUUCACGUUUCUUAAGAUUUUUGUUUUAUUUUACUUUUGCUGAAACAAACUUUGCUGCUAGCAAUCAGCUUGUUUUUGUCUACUGUGGGAGGGUUUCUAGAUUGUGCUUCCAGGAGUAAAAUUUGAUCUUUAGGUAUUUGGUUUAUAACGUUACUAAAUAAUAAAUACCUAAUUGCUUUCCAAAGUGGUUGAACUAAUUGACAUUGCCACCCGAAGUGUGUAAUCCUUCAUAUAAUCAACAAAUUUAAUAGUCAGAGGUGUAACAUUUUUGCCAAUCCAUUAGUUGUAGAAUAAUAUCGCUUGGCUUCAGUUUGAAAUUUCCCAAUUUCUAAUGAACAUCCGCAUCUUUUCCUGGGUUUAUUGGCAAUUCAUGACUCCUAUUUUGAAAAGUCUGGUCAAGAAUUCUGCCCGUUUUUCUAUUGGGUCGCUUGUCUUUUUUCUCAUCAGUUUGUAAGAGAUUCUUAAACAUUGUGGGUGCCACGCUUUUACUGAUCAUACGUAUUACAAGCAUCUUCCUGUUUAACAACUUAAUUCUCUUUAUAGAGUCAUUUGAUAAUCAGAAUUUAUCAGGUUUUUUUUUUCCCCUUUGUGAUGUCUGCUUUUCUUUAAAAUUUUGUUUAAAAAAUACUACCCUCUUUCAAAGGGUACAUUCUAAUUCGAAAUUUGUAUGAUAUUACCUUUCACAUGAGGCCUUGAUUUUUAUGUAGGGAGUAAAGGAGGGGCCUGAUUUCGUAUUUUUGCAAGUGAAUAACUUCACUAAUCUAGUGUACCACUUCUCUCAUAAAACGAAUUUCCAUUUAGAUAUGGGUCUGUUUCUGUAUUUUCCCUUCUGUUCCAUUGAUCUACUGGCCCACCCUCGUUGUGAUAUCAUAGUGUCUCAAAUUGCUGGAUCUUUUUAAGAAAUUGAUAUCCGGUAGGGUAAUCACCCCCUUCUUUAUUCUUUCUUCGUCUUGAGUAUUCAUUCAUUUUUAACCGAAUGCCAAAUUGAACUCCCACUGGAAUUUUGAAUUACAUCGAUCUAUAGAGAAAUCUGGGGACAAAUUACGUUUUUUAUUAUAUUAAUGUUUUCUAUCCUGCCAUGUAGUUAAAGUACGUCUUUCAGUAUGAUUUCCUAAUUUCCUCCAUAAGGAUAAGGCACAUCUUCUGUUUGACUUGUAUCUACUUGUUUUAUGUUGCUGCUGUAAAUCAUAUUGUUUUUGGUUAUACUUUCUAGCUGUUAAUGAUGUUUAGAAAAGCUAUUCACCUCUUUAUAUUGAUUGUU